CCAGCAGCAGACUUCAGGAUUUCAACAUUUUCUUGCAAUCCAUGCAUAACCAAAGUUCUAAUUUAGUAAUUAAAAUAAUUUUAAAAACUAAAUAAUUUAAUCAUGCAUCAAAAUUUAGGAUUUUUGGAUCUAGGGUUUUACAAGAAAAUAAGUUUUACCUUUUCGCAGUUCUUCUCAUAGAUGUAUUUACAUGGCACCCC
rnacentral:lncRNA from 1 species